rnacentral:ncRNA from 1 species
AUACCGACAAGGCAAAUCCGCCGAAAGACGGAGACGCAAAGCCGUGGAUCUAACUCUUUGAACCUAAAGACAUGAUUGCCAGGCCGCCGAA